rnacentral:rRNA from 1 species
GACGAACGCUGGCGGCGUGCUUAAUACAUGCAAGUCGAGCGGACGAAUCGAAAGUUUGUUUUUUGUUCGUUUGGGGCGGAGGGGUGAGAAACACGUGGGCACCCUCCUCUGUAGACGGGGAUAAUACCGAAAAAUGGGUGCAAAUCCCGGAUAACACGAAAUGUCGCAUGACGUUUCGUUAAAAGACGGCGCAAGGUGUCGGAACAGGGGGUUCUCGCGGCGUAUUAGCUAGUUGGGGUGGUAACGGCUCACCAAGGCGACGAUGCGUAGCCGAUCAGAGGGGGUGAUCGGCCACACUGGAACUGAGACACGGCCCAGACUCCUACGGGAGGCAGCAGUAGGGAAUCUUCCGCAAUGGACGAAAGUCUGACGGAGCAACGCCGCGUGAGCGAAGAAGGCCUUCGGGUCGUAAAGCUCUGUUGUUAGGGAAGAACAAGUAUCGCAGUAACUGGAGUUACCGUGACGGUACCUAAUGAGAAAGCCACGGCUAACUACGUG